GCGCAUUCUCUUUAAGGCAGUGUAUUAAGCAGUCCAACUUCUGUCCGUAGAGGGGUCAAAUUGCAAGAUGUGCCUUCUCUACCGAAAUGUACCAUGGCAAAAGAUGUUCUUAUAUCCUGCAGUUGAAAAUGUAAAGACAACUGGCCAACUGGGAUUGUUGAGAAAGCUUACCAACCGAUAGCUCAAGGAUGAAGCUGUUAUUCUGAUCAGAAGUAAUGGCUUGUCAGAUGUGAAACUCCUGAGUUUGGAAAGAUCAUUUCAUGUCCAGUUCCGGGGGGAACUAUGUUUAAGUUCCUGUACAUGUUUAAGUUUACUCA